GUCGAACUAGCUGUUGGUGGUGCUACAGCUGGGGAUGGCACGGGAGUUGAAGAAACAGCAGGUGUCAAACUAGCUGUUGGGGCCGGACUGGCAGACGUUGUGGUGGUAGUUGCUUUGCUUGAUGAACUUGUGGCCUUUUUCAACAUGACCACCAUAAAUGAACCUUCAGUGACGUUAUGGGCAUUUAGUGAUGUAUCAUCAUUAAGAAUUUUCCCUUGGAAUAUCAGUAACUGCUGAUCAGCUGGGUAAACGCUCUGCCCCUGUGUAUUCUCAAUGGUCUUUUUAACAUCAAGAAUCGUAUCGUCGGGAUUGACUUCGAUCUCGAAGUUGGUGCCCUUGAGAGUCUUCACGAACACCUUCAUCUCUACCGGCUGCGGAUGAGACGGAAGUGAUCGGAGGGGGUUAGGGCUCUGGGUGCG
rnacentral:misc_RNA from 1 species